AUGAGGAAGCACCUGCCGCAGCCGGGCCGCCACAGGUGGAUGCGCUCGCUGCUGCUCGCGCUGCCGCUCCUCUCGCUCCCGAUCCUCUACGCCGCGCUCGGGCCGGCGCGCACGCAGCAGCCGCCCUCCCCGCCGCGGCUCGGGGGGAGGCAGCAGCAGCAGCAGCCCCUGCCGCCGCCCAGGCUGGCGUACCUCAUCUCGGGCGGCCCCGGCGACGGCCCGCGGAUCCGCCGCCUCCUGCGGGCGCUCUACCACCCCUGGAACUACUACCUCGUCGGGGUCUCGGGGGAGGAGGAGCGCGCGGAUCUCGAGGCCUUCGUGCGCGGCGAGGAGGCGCCCCGGAGGUACGGCAACGUCAGGGUCGCGGCGCCGGGGGAGUGGCCCGUGGUCUCGCGCCGGGGCCCGACCGAGCUGGCCGCCACGCUCCACGGCGCCGCCCUGCUGCUCAGGGAGUUCGACGGGUGGAGCUGGUUCAUCAAUCUCAGCGCCUCCGACUACCCGCUCAUGCCCCAAGAUGACCUCCUUCAUAUCUUCUCAUAUCUUCCAAGAGAUCUGAACUUUAUCGACCACACAAGCAAUAUUGGUUGGAAGGAGCAUCAAAGGGCUAGACCAAUCAUCGUGGAUCCAGCAUUGCAGAUCUCAAACAAAACUGAGGUUGUGACAACAAAGGAGAAAAGAAGCUUGCCUUCAGCUUUCAAAAUAUUUGUAGGUUCGUCGUGGGUAAUAUUGAGCCGAUCAUUCCUGGAGUUCUGCAUAUUGGGAUGGGACAACCUUCCUCGCACGCUGCUCAUGUACUUCACCAAUUUCCUGUCGUCCUCGGAGGGAUACUUCCACACGGUGAUCUGCAACUCAAAGUACUACCAGAACACCACCAUCAACAAUGAUCUCCGUUUCAUGGCGUGGGACAACCCCCCUCGGACGCACCCUCUCAACCUGACAGCCGAGUACUUCGACGCAAUGGCGAACAGCGGGCUGCCAUUUGCGCACUCUUUCACGCGUGACGAUCCGGUCCUGGAUAUGAUUGACACUGAGCUGUUGAAGCGAGCGCCCGACCGCUUCACAACAGGUGGAUGGUGCCUGGGUAGCCCGGUGGGCGGCAAAGACCCUUGUACUGUUUUCGGAAGGUCAUUUGUUCUCAGGCCGAUUAAAGGUUCGGGGAAGCUAGAGAAGUUGUUGUUGAAACUUUUGGAACCUGACAACUUCAGGCCUAAACAGUGUAUAUAA
rnacentral:rRNA from 1 species